AGUGAACGCUGGCGGUAGGCCUAACACAUGCAAGUCGAACGGCAGCACAGUAAGGGCUUGCUCUUACGGGUGGCGAGUGGCGGACGGGUGAGGAAUACAUCGGAAUCUACUUUUUCGUGGGGGAUAACGUAGGGAAACUUACGCUAAUACCGCAUACGACCUACGGGUGAAAGCAGGGGAUCUUCGGACCUUGCGCGAUUGAAUGAGCCGAUGUCGGAUUAGCUAGUUGGCGGGGUAAAGGCCCACCAAGGCGACGAUCCGUAGCUGGUCUGAGAGGAUGAUCAGCCACACUGGAACUGAGACACGGUCCAGACUCCUACGGGAGGCAGCAGUGGGGAAUAUUGGACAAUGGGCGCAAGCCUGAUCCAACCAUACCGCGUGGGUGAAGAAGGCCUUCGGGUUGUAAAGCCCUUUUGUUGGGAAAGAAAAGCAGCAGGUUAAUACCCCGCUGUUCUGACGGUACCCAAAGAAUAAGCACCGGCUAACUUCGUG
rnacentral:rRNA from 1 species